UCCAAAGAAGACCGCAUGGUCUGAAUGCGAAGAUGUAUUCAUCCGCGCCUUUUCAGCUCCUCUUCAGUUCAAUUGUAUGUUUGGAUGAGGGUUAGAAUUCCACGUUUAUCAGUUUCAUCCUUCAAAUUUAGACAAUGAAUGUCAUCUGAAAGGCAAGCAAAGAGGAUAGGUCGGCCUCGAAACAGCAGGAGAGAUACUGAAUAAUUUGAGACAAGGAAGCAACUCGACAGAUAUUGUAAGAUCAGCCGAGAACGGAAGGCAUGAUAUCUUCCUGCCGAUAGCCUAUCCUGUACUUAGAGCGGUGGAAGAUCUUGUUUUGACGGAUUUGGGGAGUUCGCAAGUUAUCCAGAAUUCGCUUCGAAAGUUGGAAAUGGAGAUGGAAUGAAAAGUACGACACACGUUUCCUCAAUAAAGACUUGGUCUGUGUUCUAAUUCAGACAUUGUCGAUUUCACCACAGCCAAAAUACCACACCUCCUCCAAUGCCGUAACAUCAGUGAGAAGUGCAGCCGGGGAGACCUGGUGGCUUCAGAUAAGAAGGCUGCAUUUGUAGACUAUGGACACGAAGAACGGAGAACUUGUUAGUAACAUUCUUUGCGAUACAUUCCUUGCUCUACUGCACAGGUGCAUGUUACGCUAUUGGCGCCAACUGCAGCAUCCAUCUCACCAAAAUUAAUGCGUCAUAUUUUAAGUCAUGUGAUCAAGCAGAAUCCUUUCUCCCCGAGGACGGACAGGCACAACAGGUCCAACAAUACAGAAGCUGCUCAAACGGGAUAUAAUUUAUAUUUAAGAAGAUAUCUUUGGUAGUCGGCGAAUCUUUAUCCAUUUGGAAUAUCAACAGAAAGAACUUGAGAUACAGGAUCACUUUGCGAACUUUUUCUCCGACAGAAACUCUUUAAUUGUUAUGUGCGGACUAGAAAACUAUUUUCACGGCAGAGCUUCGCCGAGGCUAAUCCGAA